GGCGUGGUGGCCGAGUGGCUAGGCAGUGGUCUGCAAAACCAUCGACACCGGUUCAAUUCCGGUCCACGCCUCCA
rnacentral:tRNA from 2 species